GACGAACGCUGGCGGCGUGCUUAACACAUGCAAGUCGAACGGAAAGGCCCUGCUUUUGUGGGGUGCUCGAGUGGCGAACGGGUGAGUAACACGUGAGUAACCUGCCCUUGACUUUGGGAUAACUUCAGGAAACUGGGGCUAAUACCGGAUAGGAGCUCCUGCUGCAUGGUGGGGGUUGGAAAGUUUCGGCGGUUGGGGAUGGACUCGCGGCUUAUCAGCUUGUUGGUGGGGUAGUGGCUUACCAAGGCUUUGACGGGUAGCCGGCCUGAGGGGGUGACCGGCCCAAUGGGGCUGGGGUAGGGCCCCAGACCCCACGGGGGGGCGGGGGGGGGGAAUUUUCCCAAAGGGGGGGAGGCCGAAGGAAGCACCCCCGGGGGGGGGGGGCCGGCCUUCGGGUUGAAACCCCUUUUCCCUGGUGCCGAGGGGUGGGGACGGGAAAGGGGUAAAAAAGCCCGGGCAAACUCGGG
rnacentral:rRNA from 1 species